rnacentral:rRNA from 1 species
GACGAACGCUGGCGGCGUGCUUAACACAUGCAAGUCGAACGAUGAACCCGGAGCUUGCUCCGGCGGAUUAGUGGCGAACGGGUGAGUAACACGUGAGUAACCUGCCCUUGACUCUGGGAUAACUGCUAGAAAUGGUAGCUAAUACCGGAUACGACCCUCGGUGGCAUCACCAGGGGGUGGAAAGAAUUUCGGUCAAGGAUGGACUCGCGGCCUAUCAGCUAGUUGGUGAGGUAACGGCUCAACAAGGCGACGACGGGUAGCCGGCCUGAGAGGGUGACCGGCCAAACUGGGACUGAGACACGGCCCAGACUCCUACGGGAGGCAGCAGUGGGGAAUAUUGCACAAUGGGCGCAAGCCUGAUGCAGCAACGCCGCGUGAGGGAUGACGGCCUUCGGGUUGUAAACCUCUUUUAGUAGGGAAGAAGCGAAAGUGACGGUACCUGCAGAAAAAGCACCGGCUAACUACGUGCCAGCCGCCGCGGUAA